rnacentral:rRNA from 1 species
AACGAACGCUGGCGGCAUGCCUAACACAUGCAAGUCGAACGAUCCCUUCGGGGAUAGUGGCGCACGGGUGCGUAACGCGUGGGAACCUGCCCUUAGGUUCGGAAUAACUCAGAGAAAUUUGAGCUAAUACCGGAUAAUGUCUUCGGACCAAAGAUUUAUCGCCUUUGGAUGGGCCCGCGUUGGAUUAGCUAGUUGGUGGGGUAAAGGCCUACCAAGGCGACGAUCCAUAGCUGGUCUGAGAGGAUGAUCAGCCACACUGGGACUGAGACACGGCCCAGACUCCUACGGGAGGAAGCAGUGGGGAAUAUUGGACGAUGGGCGAAAGCCUGAUCCAGCAAUGCCGCGUGAGUGAUGAAGGCCUUAGGGUUGUAAAGCUCUUUUACCCGGGAUGAUAAUGACAGUACCGGGAGAAUAAGCCCCGGCUAACUACGUG